rnacentral:rRNA from 1 species
GACGAACGCUGGCGGCGUGCUUAACACAUGCAAGUCGAACGGAAAGGCCCUGCUUUUGUGGGGUGCUCGAGUGGCGAACGGGUGAGUAACACGUGAGUAACCUGCCCUUGACUUUGGGAUAACUUCAGGAAACUGGGGCUAAUACCGGAUAGGAGCUCCUGCUGCAUGGUGGGGGUUGGAAAGUUUCGGCGGUUGGGGAUGGACUCGCGGCUUAUCAGCUUGUUGGUGGGGUAGGGGCUUACCAAGGCUUUGACGGGUAGCCGGCCUGAGAGGGUGACCGGCCACAUUGGGACUGAGAUACGGCCCAGACUCCUACGGGAGGCAGCAGUGGGGAAUAUGGCACAAUGGGCGGAAGCCUGAUGCAGCAACGCCGCGUGCGGGAUGACGGCCUUCUGGUUGUAAACCGCUUUCGCCUGUGACGAAGCGUGAGUGACGGUAAUGGGUAAAGAAGCACCGGCUAACUACGUG